GACAGAGGUGCCAAGCGUUAGGCGGAAUCACUGGGCUUAAAGCGUGUGUAGGCGGAAUUGUAAGUACCUUGUGAAAUCCCACGGCUCAACCGUGGAACUGCUCGGUAUACUGCUUUUCUUGAGCCACUUAGGGGCUGUCGGAACAAACGGUGGAGCGGUGAAAUGCGUAGAUAUCGGGAGGAACACCGGUGGCGAAGGCGGUUCUCUGGGCCUUACCUGACGCUGAGGAGCGAAAGCGUGGGGAGCGAACAGG
rnacentral:rRNA from 1 species